GGGCAGGGCGUUUCGGGCCAGAGGGAAGCCUCCCGCGUUCCCCGGCAGAGCUGCGUUCUUUUUCUCUCGCAGCAGAGGAGUUUGGGCAGGUCAUUGGGUGUUCCUUUGCCAAUUGCAAUGCAAAAGGAUGGAAUGGAGGCACCAUCAACUUCUCUUCCCCUCUCAUGGGAAAGUACUGUUCAGUGACUGUUGUUGCCAUACUACAGGAGGAAAUGAUGUUGAGUUUUGCUGUGGAUGUUGUUUUCCCACCUCUUGGCCCAGGACCUCCAGCCAUGUCCUUCCUGGCAUCUUCAAGAGCACCAGCAGGGCAAGGAAGGGGAUUCUGCCCCUUUACUCUGCUCUAGUCAGACCCCACCUGGAGUCCUAUGUGCAGUUCUGGAGCCCCCAGCACAAGAAGGACAUGGAACCGUUUGACCAGUCCAGAAGAGGCCACAAAGAUGCUCAGAGGGCUGCAGCAGCUAUGCUAUGAGGACAGGCUGAGAGAGUUGGAGUUCUGCAACCUGGAGAAGAGAAGGCUUCAAGGGGACCUUGGUGUGGCCUUCAGGAUCGGAAGGGGCUACAGGAAGGCUGGGGAGGGACUAUUGACAAGGGAGCUUAAUUGCUUUGCCUGAAAGGAAGCUGCAGAUCUGCAUUCGGCCUCAGACACAAAGCCUGGCUGUGGAGGAUGCUUUGGUACCAGAACGUGGAGCUGUUGGACACCCAAGUGGUUCAGAAUCAGAUUUCCUUUGGGAAAUGGAGACAAAAACGUCUCUGUGGCUUGGUACCUCCUGCUGUGUGGCUCUGCUGGCCCCUGCUGUUCUGCUGUGUGAAGAGGUAGAUCUAGCUUGGUGUACAGGGUUAACCCUCCUGGGGGGGAGUGAUCUUGAACUUGACUCCUCCCCAGGGGUGGGUCUGAACACUACCAGGUGAUGGUUAGUCCGCUCCCCCUCCCUGUCUGAGAUACAUGAAAGCAGGAGAGAUGUCCUGCUUGCAGUCUCUCUCCCUCCUUGCCUGCCAGCAUCACCAUUCCUGUUUUCCUGCUGCUCUUUGUCUUUCCACGUGGCCAUCAUCACCACGAAGUGGACAAAACCCACUGCCAUCCAAUCUGGUUGUACAUUUACAUGUUUUGUAUCUUGCUUUCCCCGUCCCUAUGCUUUUGUAGCUUCCCUGCCUCAUACACCUUGUAUUUAUGUUAAACUUUUUUUUAUUUAACUCCCGACUCCCAGUGGGAUUAUUGUUUGGCUCUGCUUACCUUCCCUCUCUCUCCAUCUGUUUCCUUUCCUUUGGGAAAAGAAGGGGGAAGAGGGAAGGGCAUCCUACCAAUUGUUACUGGUUCUAUCAACUCUGUUUGAGUCUCUGGGGAAUUUAAAUUAGACCCGAGGCUCUUGGGCUGGCUGUCAGGCUCCUGACCUGAGGCACAGUGUGCUGCUCUCUGCUCCGAGAGGCCACUUUUGUCACCAGAGCUUUUGGCACGCUCAGGUCGCAGAGUUUGGCUGGAGCAGAUGUGGCAGGUUUGUCAUAUUUGGGUUUGUUUCCAAGCACUGAGGAACCUGUGGCUGGCCUCUGGGUGCCUGCCUGGGCAAGCAGCAGGGAGCUUCUCUUAGGCCUUUCAAGUCCUGGUGCUUGCAGAGGAGGAGAAGCUCAGGGGGUGAAGGAAUGAAAACUGGAGGGGGUCUUCAGAUGCGGGGAGUGGCCUCUGCCCUGGCGAGGCUGCUCAGCAGUGUUGCUGCAGCUGAGCACUCCCUCAGGGAACUUCUUCUUUUGGAGACAUCAUUGUGGCACUGUUGGUAGGUGAGUAGCAAGAAAUCAAAGCUGUCUGGGCCUCAUUGCUGUGGGGGCCAAAGCACUUCAGAUCUUCAGCUGUGUGUGCUGCUUUCUGCUGAGGGCUGUGCUUUGGAAGAGAGGUAGCUGUGUGAGCAGCCUCUGCCACAGUGGAGUUUGUAUUUGUGCAGCCAUGCUUCUAGUUCUGGUUUAUGAAAUGAUGGCAGUGGAGACAGAAACCCAACAGUGCCAGGGGAGUUCAGCAUGUGCUGGGCUGUGCUUGCUGCCAAAGGCUUUUGUGUGCAUCUGUGUUUGGGUGGUUUUGACGUUGUUUUACUUCUGGGGUGUAUUUAAUGUACCUUCCUUUCUGCUUUCCACCUGAAGAGCUGCAGAGCUGCUGCUCCUCAUUUUCAGCACUCUUAGAGGACAGUUUUACACUUUGCUUUCCACUCCACUGGCCAAGCCAGCCAGAUGUGCAGCAGCAGCAGGAUGGGCACGAGGGCCCCAGCUGCUGCGGUGAAUCCGUCAGCACGGACGCUGGUGCCGCUGCAGCCUGGCCCUGCAGCCUGGCAGGGUGAUCUCCUUUGGCUUGGCUCCUGUGGGCUCCAGGCACAGGCUGGUGAGGCUGUGCCCAGCCCCUCAGGAGGGCACAGGUGAUUAGAGAAGGCCGUUCCUCGUGGCUCGCUCUCCGUUUGGAGCAGGACGAAGGUACAGGCUGUUGCUCUGCAGUGUGGCAAUCGUUGGUAGCUACAGCUGGUGCUGAGGUAAGAUGAUGCUUUGUUUCUAGAGCCAGAGAAGGUUUUUUUUGCAGGUGUUGCACAGGCUUCCUCAGCUGCUCAGUGCACCCAGCCUGAGUGCAUGGCUACUGUCACAGGAUCACAGGAUGUAAGGGAUUGGAAUGGACCUCCAUAGAUUGCUGCAUCCAACCCUCCUGCCAGAGCAGGACCUUAGAAUCUAGAUCAGGUGGCACAGGAACGCAUCCAGAUGGGUCUUGAAAGUCUCCAGAGAAGGAGACUCUACAACCUCUCUGGGCAGCCUGCUCCAGUGCUCUGUGACCCUUACAGUAAAGAAGUUCUUCCUCAUGUUGAGACAGAACUUCCUGUGCUGGAGUUUAUACCUGCUCCCCCUUGUCCUGUCACAGGGCACAGCUGAGAAGAGUUUGUCUCCUCCCUCUUGACCCCCAGCCCUCAGAUAUUUAUAAACAUGGAUCAGAUCUCCUCUAAGUCUGCUCUUCACCAGAGCCAAAAGCCCCAGGUCCCUCAGGCUCUCCUUGUAGGGCAGUGCUCCAGCUCCUUAGUCAUCUCUGUAGCCCUCCCUUGGACUCUUCCAAGUAGAUCCCUGUCCCUCUUGAACUGGGGAGCCCAAACCUGAACACAAUAUCCAAGUGAGGUCUCACCUGGGCAGAGAAGAUGGGGGAGAAGAACCUCCCUAGACCUGCUGCACACACUCCUCUUAGUGCACCCCAGGAUCCUCUUGGCCUUCUUGGCCACCAAGGCACAUUGCUGUCCCAUGCAUAACUUGUUGUGCACCAGGGCUCCCAGGUCCUCCACAGGGCUGCUUUCCAGCAGAUCACCUCCCAGCCUGCACCAGUGCAGUUUAUUGCUCCUUCCUAGGCGCAGGACUCUGCACUUAGCCUUGUGGAACCUCAUCAGGUUCUACUCUGCCCAGCUCUCGCUCUGUCCAAGCCUCGCUGCAUGGCCACACAGACUCCAUGUGUCUCAGCCAAGCCUCCCAGUUUGGUAUCAUCAGUAGACUUGCUGAGCAGACUCUGUCUGUCUGUGCCCUCAUCAGUGUCAUUGAUGAAGAUGUUGACCAGGACUGGGCCUGGCACUGGUCCCUGGGGGACUCCACUCCUCACAGCUCUCCAGCUGGACCUGGCACCACUGGUCACCACUCUUUGCACUCUAUCGUGUCACCAGUUCCCAAUCUUUCUCACUGUCUGCUCUUCUAUCCCACACCUCCUGAGGCUGUCUCCUGUCAUGGGAGACAGUAUGCAAAGCCUUGCUGCAGUCAAGGUAGACUCCAUCCAGUCCUCAGGCACCUCUCCUGUCUGCCACGAUCUAGCAAAUCUGAUGGAGAGUGGCAAAGUGACAACAUCAGCCCAGUUCUCUCAGCACUCUUGGGUGCAUCUGGUCAGGGCCCACACACUUGUGAGUGUUCAGUUUGUGUAACUGAUCCUAACGCAGCCUGCGUUGAGUUGUGCAGGGUCCUCCCUACUCCAGCUUUCCUCUCCUUCGUCUAGGGGCUGGAGCUCAGAGGGAGUUCAGUCUUGGGAGUAAAGACUGAAACAGAGAAGAUGAUUAGCAACUCUGCCUUUUCUUCAUCCUUGGUUGUCAGGCUGCUCCUUGCUCAUCCAUGCAGCUCUCUUAGCACAUCUGUCUGACUUUUUUAUGUGGGGGAACACACCCAGCUUGGGCUUGGAGGAAGUGGCAUUUAAAAACUGACCACCUCUGCCUCUGGAGCCUUAGCCCAAGGGUUGCCUUGUGGGUGAGAGUCCAAUGUCUGUGCCUGAGUGGCAGGGCUCUUACUGGAACUGUGGGACAGAGUUAACACUUGUCCUUCUUUUCUCCCAGGGCCCUGAUAAGGACCUGUACUGAGACAGGUUCAGAGAGCUGGUUUAGUUUAUCAGAGCAACAGACAGGAGAGCUGGGGGACUGCCAGGGAUAAAUGCACUGCCUGCGAGGUGGUCUCAGGGCAGUCAACCCUGGGGAACAUUGACACGGUCAGAGGUGCAGCCCUGUGCAGCAGCUCUGCUUGAGAAGAGGAAAGCAGCAAAAGCUCAGCCCUGUGCUGGAGGUGCAGAUCUUACCCAGAAGGAUGUCUCUGCCUUGGGUGGAGGGAAAGGAGCAGAGCCUGUUAGCCGUCCCAGUCUCUGCCUAUCCUUCCGUGACGCCACGUGGUGGGGAGGGCAGGGUGAGAGAUGCUGCAGAGGAGCAGGUGAGUGAGGGGUGGGGGCAGCCUCCCAAAAAGGGUGCUUGCAGCCCUGAGUGUUUGAAAAGCUUGGAAGUGCUUGAGGGGGGCUGGAAACAGAUGAAACCCUGUUAGUAGUGGUGUGAGGUGUUCCAGCAGAGAAAAAGCUCUCGGUUUUAUCCGGAUAUUGGAGGAUUGUAUGAAUGUGUAUGUGAAAAAGACUUUGCAGUGCCCCCCCUCAUCUCCUCUCUGAUAUGUAAAGGUUUCUGGGAUAUGAAAGCAAUCCCUAAGUAGAGCAACGUAGUGUUUUAAACCACAACUCUGCAACGUGGAUAUGUACAUUACAAAGAGUGAAUUUUCCUCUGCGUGUUUGUUUUCUUGUUGAAAAUGUAAGUGGAGAAACUAAACGGAGCCAGGCUGAGCAGCUGCCCAGGCCCGGGGGGGGCGGAGAU